UACGGGGGGGCAAGGCGUUGUUCGGAAUUACUGGGCGUAAAGGGCUCGUAGGCGGCCAACUAAGUCAGACGUGAAAUCCCUAGGCUCAACCUAGGAACUGCGUCUGAUACUGGAUGGCUUGAAUCCGGGAGAGGGAUGCAGAAUUCCAAGGUGUAGCGGUGAAAUGCGUAGAUAUCUGGAGGAAUACCGGUGGCGAAGGCGGCCGCCUGGACCUGACCUGGACGCUGAGGCGCGAAGGCGUGGGGAGCGAACGGG
rnacentral:rRNA from 1 species